GUUGUUAUGUAGUGUUUUCGUUAGUCGUUUCCUAGGUGACGGUAAGGAGAGGUUGAGCGAUUGGUUGGUUGAUAUGCAGAGUAGAAUGAUGUAAUAUGAGCUAAUCUGUCAUAAUUUAAGUUAAGAGCAGCAGAUUAUCUAGGAACGACGUGGCAGCGAACUCUUGGACUCCAAUACCCACAGGUUGCGAGGUCACAGGUCAGUGUUGAGGCCUUUUAGAACGAAAUGGGCUCAAUCCCUCUGAUGAAGUGACUAAAAGGUUUCAUUUGUGAUUGAUGUUAUGAUUACAUCAUUUGAUUGCCAUGUUGGAGCUAGUAGGCUUCUUAUAAAUUAUUUUCUUUGACUAAUUACA
rnacentral:sRNA from 1 species